UACGAAGGGGGCUAGCGUUACUCGGAAUGACUGGGCGUAAAGGGCGCGUAGGCGGCGGGCAUCGUCGGAUGUGAAAUUCCUGGGCUUAACCUGGGGGCUGCAUUCGAUACGUGGUCGCUGGAGUGCGGAAGAGGGUCGUGGAAUUCCCAGUGUAGUGGUGAAAUGCGUAGAUAUCGGGAGGAACACCAGUGGCGAAGGCGGCUUCCUGGCCUGUUCUUGACGCUGAGGCGCGAAAGCUAGGGGAGCAAACGGG
rnacentral:rRNA from 1 species